GCCAGGCGUGGUAGCGCAUGCCUGUAAUCCCAGCUACUCAGGAGGCUGAGGCAGGAGAAUCACUUGAAUCCAGGAGGCGGAGGUUGCAGUGAGCCGAGAUCACGCCACUGCACUCCAGCCUGGGCAACAGAGUGAGACUCUGUCUCAA
ensembl:misc_RNA Metazoa_SRP Metazoan signal recognition particle RNA